CCUACGGGGGGCUGCAGUGGGGAAUAUUGGACAAUGGGCGAAAGCCUGAUCCAGCCAUGCCGCGUGUGUGAAGAAGGCCUUCGGGUUGUAAAGCACUUUCAGUGGGGAAGAAAGCCUUGGGGCUAAUACCCUCGAGGAAGGACAUCACCCACAGAAGAAGCACCGGCUAACUCCGUGCCAGCAGCCGCGGUAAUACGGAGGGUGCGAGCGUUAAUCGGAAUUACUGGGCGUAAAGCGCGCGUAGGCGGUCUGAUAAGCCGGUUGUGAAAGCCCCGGGCUCAACCUGGGAACGGCAUCCGGAACUGUCAGGCUAGAGUGCAGGAGAGGAAGGUAGAAUUCCCGGUGUAGCGGUGAAAUGCGUAGAGAUCGGGAGGAAUACCAGUGGCGAAGGCGGCCUUCUGGACUGGCACUGACGCUGAGGUGCGAAAGCGUGGGUAGCAAACAGGAUUAGAUACCCUAGUAGUC
rnacentral:rRNA from 1 species